UGGUGUGGUAGAGCUUCCGGGUGUGAGAGGGACAGACUGUGUUUACAUCUGUACUAUCGUGUGUGGGUUCUACUGUACUCACUACGGGUACAGCUGCUGACAACUGGAUGGAGACAAUUAAGGUGACGUGUUUCAUUCUUCUUCUCAAUAUUCAAGGUAUCAUUGCAAGCAAUUGUUCAGAUGCUGCAUAUUCACAAAACAUACCAUAUAUCCGGAUGUGUGAGGACGGCAAGCGUGACGUCAGAGUGAUACUAGACACACACCGGAGCCCCGUUCGAUUUGCACUCUUCUAAGAAGAGAAGCCUUCUAAGAAGAUCGUAUUCCGUUAUAUGCAUGUAAAUCGAGUAAACCGGGAGAAUAAA